CCCUAAGGCAAAAAGGCAAAACAACUGAAAAGAUGGCAAAUUUACCCAAACCUUAGAUAAUGGGCCUUUCUCUGGAUCAUUCCACUGUUUUCUGUACACUAACCAGCCUUUAUUUACUACAGAUCUCACAUUUUCAUUAUGGGCCUAAAAUAUUAAAUUAAAAUAUUAAAUUAGCUCAAGGAGAUGCUGCUAGAGGAGAUCAAUAUGUUAAAGCUUAACUUAUAAGACUACUUCUACAUUAGAACUAUUUUGUGUGUAUCGCUGCUUUGCAGAAUACCAGGUACAUGCCUUGUGCCCAGCAGGGACCACAAGAGUUCACUGGGUUCCUUGGAAGUGGAGUUAUAGAAGCCACCACGGGGUGCUAGGAAUGAAACCCAGGUUUAACUAAGCAGCAAGCACUCCUGAGCACUGAGGCACCUCUCCAGCCCCGAACUAACCAAUCUUUAACGUCAGGAGGAACGCACGUGGAUUUUAAUGCUGAGUAAGACAUUUUUGGGGGCAAGGCAGAAAGCCUAGGGGCUAGACUAGCACUAACGAUUGUUCAAAACAAAAACAAGGCCCUAAUGGAAAGCAAACCCAAGACACAUUCAGGGUUUUCCUCCCAAGAGUUAAAAUGAAUGGCUUUGCAAUGUUAUCUUUCUUUAGGUAAAGAUGUUCUGUGAUCACAGGUUUCAUUUUAACACUGCCAAGAUUGUGGUCCCAUGACUGGGUGGUAGCUGACUUCACAGUUGCCCAGGCCUGGAGAUAUAACUCUAAUAACAUCUCACAGCCAAGAUAAUGAACUCCUCACUUGUACAGGAAGGAUCCGUCUAUAAUCUCAAGCUACAUAGACAAACACCCACGAGGCAAUAUGGACAAACAACUCAAAAGUCACUUGAGGCUACAGAAACUGCUUCGGGUUUCAAGCCCAAGGAUCCAUUGUUAGUAAAACAAAUGAGGUGAGCACAUUUCCCUCCUGUACAGCCUAAAUCCUGGCUCUCGGGGCAUAAAGGGCGGUUUCACAAUUCCCCUGAAGAGCCCCUUCAAUCUGUUGUUACUACGCGUUUAUGUGAAUGUGUGGGCCUGUCUCGUUCACACGCACACGUGCACACGCAUGCACACGUGCCUGUCACUGCUCCCGUAGUGAAGCGAGCGUACAAUUUAUGAGAACAGGCUCUCUGAACAAAGGUCAUCAGGGUUGGUGACAAGCACCCUGGCGUACCUGCCUAGUCAUUUCAUUUUGAAUUUGAAUGACAGCACACUAGGAAGAGCUACAAUGUAUACACUGUAUUCAGCGCUAGGAAGACCUACAAUGUAUACACUGACUCCAAUUCAGGGGGUCAAAGGUCAGAGGGCAAGUAUCCACUGCUCGGGAUCCCCACAACUGAGUUCUCAGGAAGAAGGAGAUUUACUUGCCCCAGAGAGACAGAGGACAGGAGAUGGAGGAAGAGGGAGAAGGGGAAGGGAAUAGGAGGGAAGGAAAGGGGUAUUUGUCCCUCAGGACAACUGUCUCUGAAGAGAGGACAUGAUAUGUGAUCAUGACAUUGGCAAGGAAAUGGGUAGGAAAAAAAACCCCGGGAAAGGUGACCCCAGAAGGACAGAUGUGGUGUGCACACACUGGCUCACUUACAUGUAGGUAUGGACUGUGAAGUCGAUGAUAACCAAGCUACCAUCUGCAGAGCCACAGAGGGUGGGUGCAGAGUAAGGGGUGGCCACUGGGUGUGGGGGAGAUGGCAGGAUCUCCCUAGGAGUGGGAAUAGACUAGAAGGUUAGAGAUGGAGGGAGGGAGGGGCGGGAUCAGGAGGAUCCAGUGGAGACGGGAGAGAAGAGGGCAAUAAGGGAGGAAUACGGGGAAAGGCAGCUAUAAUCAAGGGCCAUUUGAGAGGUAGCAUGGAAACUCAACGCAGCAACUUUGUAAAAUAUACACACGCAAAAGAUCUAAAGAAACUGCCAAACAACGGGGCGAGACAGCCCCAACUGGACAUCUCUUAUCACCAACUGAAGCUUCCAGGACCAGGAUUGGGUUACAUCUAGCUGGGAUUCAGCCAUCCCCGAAAGGUUCUCACUCUGGAAGCAGCCAUGUUGGGAGGUGUUGUACCCUCUAGAGUAAUUAACUGAUGCGCUUCCUGGUGAGUCCUGGCUAUCGUGGGACUGGACUGGUCCCUCAGGAGUGGAUUACUCCACAGCAAGGUUACCCAGCCAUUCAGCCUCGUCCACACUGCCCUACUCACCACACUUGGCAGCGCUCCUGCAUGUUUUCUACUAUCCGUUAAAGCGGCCAGGAAGUCCUCAGAAGACUCCCGCACCACACACUAGGCUUUCCAGCCAGGAGACCUACACGGAGUGUCACAUCUCUUCUCCUUUCAUCGUCACCAAAGCCAAUGAGCAAGGCAUUACCGUUCCCAGCGUACACUGGGCUCAGAAAGACUGAAUCAUCUAAGAACACGCCACUGAAAACGCCCAGGGGUUACUUAGAGGUGAAUGGGUGACUCAAGGGCCCACGCCAGCAUGGGUGAAGGCUCCUGAAGGCUUCACCCCAGCUGUGCUUCACACAGCUUCACAGAUGAGCCUCCUCCUAGCAAACUACAACAUUCUAAUCUUCCCAGCCUUGAAAACUUCCUUCGCCUCCUCAGAGUCCCUCUCAGCCCCCUGGGAGGGGAUGUCUCCAUUUGGAGGUAAGAACCAUACAGAAGAAGCUGAGAUGAUCACUAAACCAGGAAUCAGAACUAUCUAUUUUAGUUGCUAGAGCAUAAAACUUACAAAUGGCACGCCAAGGUUUUAACAGAAGGCCAACAUCAAUACUUUUUCUUUACAGGUGCUACAUAAAGCUAUUCGAGAAGACGAGAUUAAACAUGAGGUUGGAACAGUUAUUGCCAACUGGUAGCUUGGUUAGGCUUUUGAUUUUGCAUUUCUAAUAACAACCCCACCACCACCAAGAGGCCGUGUCCGCUUGAUUCACGUUUACAUGGUCACAUUAGAUAGUGUAAUUCCCAUAGGAAGACCAAUGUGAUAUUUACAACCCAAAGCCAAUUUCCUAGCAUCUGACCAAACUGACUCAAUGAGCAGCUAUUAACUUCUGGUCCAGCGUCGGGCUUUACAGGGUGGAAGGAGGCACACUACUACUCAAGUGUUCUACAAAAGUCCUCUGUAAGUCUGUCAGAGCUGGGCUGUCGCCCAUCACACAGGGAAGUGCACAACAGUACCCCUAGACUGACGGAGAAAUCUAUCUGUGGUGUUUGCCCAGAGGUACACAAGGGCAGAGGGACUUUCCUUCCUCCUAGCUCCACCUUCCUGGAUCUGACUUGUCCCCUUUAUGCUAGUUGGCUUUCGUCAACUUGGCCCAAACCUAGACAAUAUCUAGGCGUAGGGAACCUUAACUAAGGAAUUGUUUCUGUCAGACCGGCCUGUAGCCAAGUCUGUAGGGCACCUUCUUGAUUAAUGAUUGAUGUGGGAAGGCACUGCCCACUAGGGACAUUGGCACUGCAGGACCAAAGAGAGCAGGCUGAGCAAGUUACGGAGAGAAAGCCACUAAGCAUCACCCCUCCGCGGCCUCUGUGUCAGUUCCUGCUUCCAGGUUCCUGUCCUGACUUCCCUCAGUGACGGGCUGCAAACAUUAGUUGAAAUAAAUCUUUUCUUCCCCAAGUUGCUUUUGGCCCUGGUUUCAACAACAGGGAGCAAAGUAGGACACCUCUCCUCUCCUGUAUUUAGCUUCCUUUCUUAUUUACAAAACAGAAAUAAGAAAAGCAGGCCUGACAAGAUGGCCUCCUCGGCCACACACAGCAAUAGUUUCAAUGACAGAGACACGUUUCCCCAUAGCUCUGGGAAAAAGAACAAGGAUGAGGGGAGCUGUCACUUCCUUCCCUAUGACAGCGACCUGUUUGUUCUUACACUCAAUGCCUCAGCCUCCUGGGUGCUCUUUAGAGACACUCACCUGGUAUGGUGAGGUCUGGCACCACUACUGCAGAGCCUCACUGCCAAGCUGCAGAGCCGACCAACCCAGGAAAGCAAUAUUCUCCAGGCUUCACGCACAUGAGCGAAGCUAACAGAACCAACUCUGACACCAUUCGCAUGCUCGCACGGUACAAGGAUGCUAAUCCAAAGCAAACUUCUCGCUCCCCAAUUCGCAGUCGCUCUGAGCGAAAGAGAUUUAGCUCUAAUGAAUGCCAGCACUGACUACAAAUCCACCAUCAUCUUCAUGAGGAUUUGGAGAUGAGCUUCACCCUAGGGGUUGGAUGGCAGAUAUUACAUUGUUCCAUUCUCUGGCACCGGGGAAUAUGUACUAUGCUGAGGACUGAGUCCCGGAUCCAUCUGUUAGUCAGGUGCACUUCUGUGAGCUACACCCCCAGGCCUGGAUACCAGAGCAUCAAGAGUUUCUCUCACGUGCUGUUUAGUAACACCCAUACACCACGGCGUAUGGGGGCCUCAAUCAGUCUCCUGACUGAAUUUGAAAUCUGCUCACAGAGGACACUGCAGCCUCACUCCAGCAACACAGUUCUCCCCGGCAGACGGCGGGAGGAACUGUGGAGACCAGGUUCCUUCCUCUUGCUUGUGGGACCUUGUGUUGACCUCAUCCCAAAAGAUGAGAGUGGUGUCUUGCAAAGCUCACGCCUGCCGUCAUCAACAGAAUUGUUAGGCAUCCUGGGGAAGGAACCGUGGCAUUUCCCAGGUAAAGCUAGACUGCCAAUGUUCAAGGAGAACACCCCACCCCCACC
rnacentral:sRNA from 1 species